AUUCAGUCCAAGUCGCUAAUAAGACAUGGAGUGGAAUGUUGUACUUGCGUUUCAUCUUUAUUUUGGAUUGUUACAGACCACAUCCACAUUAUGAACACCAUCAUUACCUAUCCAGACAAUACCACAGUGAUAAGGUUGGCCAGCAGAGACGAGGUUCAACACCUGGUGAGGAGCAAGUCACAAUAGCUUGUCUCUCAGUAACAGGCCAUAAUUGCAUUUGCUCUGAAUCUAAUCUGUUAUUUCUAACACAGCUGUGAGAAAAAUGUCAUAUUUGAUUCCAACCUCUCCUUUGAUUGGCACACUUACAACAUUAUUAUUUCUGCAUUAAUGCAUAAAACUGCAUUAUUUUUCUAACAUUGCAUACCUGUGAAAUAUACUCUGCUUGAAGUAUGCUGAGAAGAUUGGACUGAUGUAAUACUCUUCUAGCUGGAUGCUAUAAUAAAUUGCUAAAUAAAGAAUUGGUUCAGAAUGCAGAGGCUUGAGGAGAUGACUAUCAGGAAAUCUGACCAUAUUAAUCCAAAUCGGACCAUAUUACUCCAAAUCUGACCAUAUUACACCAAAUUAGAACAUAUUAACCAAAAUCUCACCAUAUUAAUCCAAAUCUGACCAUUUUACUCCGUCAGACCAUAUUAAUCCAAUCCUGAAGAUAUUAUUCCAAAUGAGAACAUAUUAAUCCAAAUCUGACCAUAUUAAUCCAAAUAUGGUAUUACUCCAAAUCCCUGCCAUGCCUGACUGAUACAUUCCACAUUGACUAUAAAAUAUGUCAUUCAACUUGUAAAUUUAUACAUAAUUUAGUGUUUCAGUGAAUUCAUUUCUGUUUUCUGUUUCUCUCUCACUCCCUGAGCUAUUCCUGAGAUAUUCCUGAACCAGAUGGGAUCCGCACACACUCAGUCUUCAAAUCCUGACUGGAAAACUUACUCACCUGCACCAGUAUCUGGACAAUUUGUCAUACACUAUUUUUACAGUUUUAUCAUCACAAGUACUAUGCAAAUUAUUUUUAAAUGAAUUGUGUUUAUAUUAACAUGUAGUUGCAUGUGUUAAGAUAGAUCAACAGUGUUCACUCACAAGAGUAAUUUAUUGUAGCCUGCACAUCCAGCAGGCAACCAACACAACACAGCAAAGUUUAUCUAUAUAGGUUAGUGCUUUUGUCAUGAAGCAGCUUUACACAUGUCUGAGUCCAAGAUACACUUGUGGUAGCAGAGACAGGUCCAGGGUCAGGACAGGGAAACUCAGUCUCAGUUGGGUUCCACCUAAAGUUAGCAGGUUAGUUCAGAGAUAAAAAGAGAGGUAGGCAGGAAGUGGAAAGAUGUAUAUUAGUAUAUAUGCAAACAAAUGCAUAUGUAGGCAUAGUACAUAUUGAAUGUUGCCUCAAACAUUAUGCAAUAUAAUUAUAAUCAGGACUUGUGGGAUAUUUGUUCACAUGCAUAAUUGAGCUCUGAGGUAAACUUUGAAUUUGUAGUCAGAUCUUUUCUAUUUUGUUAUUGAAUAAAUUCACAAAAUUACUAUUUUGUAAUGUUAGUAUAUGUAUAUGUUAGUAAUGACUUCAGACUAUUUAAUGUUAUUAUAGAUAUACUAGAGAAGUGCAACCAAUGAUUGUUUUUUUUAUUCUCUACUAGGGAUGAUAAGAACCCUGAUCUGGAAGAGUUGUAAGCAUUAGAAUAUUCUUCAGUUCAACAUGGAGCCAUUCGAGUUUUAGCUCAUGCCAUCUACCCUCCUGCCCUCAAGCUGUUUGUUUAGAGGUCAUGCAUGGUUGUUGAGCCGAGGUCCUGGUCUUUUUUCCCCCAAAAUCUUUUAAUUCUAAUUGGCGCAACACUAUCUAGUGACAUGAAAAAGUAUUGAUUGCAAACUUUCUGUGGUAUGUUCAAGAUUAUCAGGACUAGAGGAGGAAGAGGAGGUCAGUUCUGGUAGGUUAUCACUAAAUGCACUAAUGGCUGAAGUUGUGAUGUUACACUUAUUAUGAUAUUGGGACAGCAAGCUGUUGUUCAGGGUUAAUUCAUACAUGAUUAAAUAGUGGUCUGAGAUUCAGUCAAAGUUGAAUACUUUAAUACCAAGAGUAUUAGAUCUGGAAUGUGAUUACAUUGGUGAGUAGGCCCUGUGACAUUCUGAGUAAAUCCCUUAGCAUUUAUUCAUUACUGAAUGCUAUUUUGAGUAGGUCAUUUGUUUUUUCAAAAUGGAUAUUGAAGUCUCCUACAAUAAGACUCUUAUCUGUAGCAUGUACUACAUACUGGAAAGGCAGUCAACAAGUCCAUUAAGGAAAUCUAUAUAUGGACAGGGGUGGGUGGGUGAUAGACUGUAAUAAAAGAGAAAGUACAUUUACAGCAUUUAUCUGACGCUUUUAUCCAAAGCGACUUACAAUUAUGACUGAGCACAAUUUGAGCAACUGAGGGUUAAGGGUCUUGCUCAGGGGCCCAAAAGUGGUGACUUGGCCAUUGUGGGACUUGAACAGCCAGGGAUACGUGGACUGUUAUAGUAACUGUAUCCAGGAGCAGUGGAUUCAUUAAGGGCUUGAAAGUCAUUCUUUUUGGCCCACGUCUUGGUUAGGCACAAUGCAUUAGGGUUAUUGUCAUAAUAUUAAUAAUAAUAAUAUUAUAUACAAUGAGUGCUAUUGAAUAUUUGAUCCAAUAUUCAAUAAACCUAAAUUGAUGUGAGUAAUACUAUACUAAUAGUGUCUAAUUGAGUCAUCUUUACUAGAAUGACAGUCACUCCCAGAAUGAAGACCAGCUGUUCUCGAAGGCAAUGUCCUCGCACCAACUUCGGAUCUAACAGUGGAGUGCUUAGAGUCUGCUCACUUCCCUGUCUGUAGGUAAGAAGGCACCCUAUAUCUCUGGCAUAGGUUAUCUUAUUUACAGUGCCCAGAAGCAUUUUGAAGUGCUCCUCGCUGAGGACCUCGCUGCGACCAGAAGAGAUGUCAAUCGCUUCCAUAUGGAGGAACACAGUGCUGGUAUUGUCAUGUCUGCUGAUCACCGUGGCAAUAUUUAAAACAUGAGCACCCAGAAAACAAGAAACUUACCUUUAGUGUUAGAUACUCUGAGAUGUCUAACAAUGGAAUCUCCAAUAACUAGAGGUGCUGGAGCAGGUGGGGGACAUCAAACCCUAGAGGGAGGGAGAGCCAGCUGUGGUGGUGGUAAAAGGAACACCCUUUCAUCAGAGCUUAAGAGGGGAGGGAGGGGUUAAUGGGAAGUGGAUUACAAUGAAUUAAAAUAAAAUAGCAAUUAACAACAGGAAAAUGCUAAAUAUAAACUAGAAAAAUAUAAUAUAUUGAGCAAUCAAUCGUUGUUGCUGAGUAAUAUUACCCACAUUUGAAGCCUAAACAUGUAAAUUUAAUUAAACAUGUAUGUUUACAGGGGCAUUUAUAAGGGAAGUCCAACCAAAGUCAAAACCAAUUUCUGCAGGAUGUGCAUUGGUAAUUUUCUAGAUGUGUAAAACGUUUCAAGAUACAUUUUUUUCAACAUCAAUAAGUGUUUGGGAAACUAGAAUAAAAUGAAUUGAAUGCUAAUUGAUUUGUCAGAAAGACCCUUUGAGGAAAUAAGACGAUAAAAAAAAAAGCUAAACUCCUGUUUUUCAUUGCAAUGGUCAGACUAUUGUGAUUCAGUUACAGAUUGUAGUUUUGGGUUGCUGGAGGUUCCAGUGUCUCCAGCACCCCAAGAUUAUAUUUCAUUUUUUUCCCCAAAUAUUGACAACAGACACAAUCCGUGUCUGACAUCCAGAGUUGUUUGCCACAUCACAUCACUCUCUGUGUUUCUUCCAUGUGUAACUUCUGCUUUUUCUCUCUCUCUCCUUCCUCAGUCAGCUUGGAACUUACCCUCCAUACACACAGAUUUAACAACAGAGCAUAUGAAAACAGUUAUUUACAAAAGCACAAAGGUGUAAAAAAAAACAAAAAAACAAGUUAUUGAAUGUUUUUUUCUUAAAAAGAGUUGCAACAAAGUAAUUACCAUGAGCAUUCGGUCAAAUCAAGUGUGUAAUUUGUAUUUUAUCACAUAUGAGGAGGGUUUGAAUUAGCUUUUAGAAGUUUUCAUUCUAAUUACCUAGAAAUCAUUAAAUAAAUAACUGGAUUAGUCACAUAUGAAAUACACAGAACUCCUUAUUUAAUGGCACUACCUGCUAGUUUUCACUAAUAUUUAUUUUAAUAUAAAAAAAACUUAAUAAAUACUUAAUUAAAAUAAAUACUUUCAGAUUUAUGCUUACUACAUACAGUAUAUUGAUAUUAGCAUAACCAAUUGGCUUUAACUUCACUACUGUAAGCACUCUAAAAGUGUCAUUUUCUGUGAUCCAUCAAAUUAUGUUAGCUGCUUCAGAUUAGUCUGUUGGAAAUUAGACAGUUGACUUGAGGUAACUAGUAGCUAAUGUGGUGGUAAUUUUGGAAGUAAAUUGCAGCAGACAUUAAUGAACAUAAACCGUGGAUGUAGCGUUAGUGUAGCUGUUUUGCCAUUAACGUGUAACUAGCUGCAUUUAUGUGGGAUAUCUUUAAAUUAGCCAAAAUUAAUUCCUUGCACGGUUUAUAGAUUAAUAUUUCAGUAACUAGGCGUGUUAUAAAUGAAUAUUCCUGGUGUGAGUUUUAAAGUAAAGAUACAUGUCCAAACAAAUUCCAGAUUUUAUUGUAGUCCGUUCACUCACUUUGACAACUUCUUGUAGAAUAUGGUAAUGUUAACAUGGUGGGAAAAUAAACCUCUUUCUGUCAUCCCA